rnacentral:tRNA from 1 species
GUCUAAAUAGCUUAUUAGAGUAUAACACUGAAGAUGUUAAGGAGGUUAAUUAACCUUUAGAUA